rnacentral:lncRNA from 1 species
GGGAAUCUCAAAAUUGUAUUUAUUAAAUUACCUUAUAUACAAUUUGGAUUUAUAACAAUAAAUCAGUUAUUAACACGUUAGUAGGCCUCCUAAGGUAGUCCUUAAGGAGGUCAUUAAAGACAUCAAUCUCUCCUUUGAUCCGGAGUGUUACAAGAAAAGUUGUUGUCACCCUUUGGAAACAUUUAUGAUGGAAGUAUGAGAGACUAACCUCCUGAGACAGCGUAUCUAGUUACAAGAAAAGUUGUUGUCACCCUUUGGAAACAUUUAUGAUGGAAGUAUAAGAGACUAACCUCCUGAGACAGCG